rnacentral:rRNA from 1 species
UACGAAGGGGGCGAGCGUUGUUCGGAACCACUGGGCGUAAAGGGCGCGUAGGCGGCCCUUCUUGUCGCGUGUGAAAGCCCCGGGCUCAACCUGGGAAUGGCGAUGGAUACUGGCUCGCUAGAGUGCGGUAGAGGAGAGUGGAAUUCCCGGUGUAGCAGUGAAAUGCGUAGAGAUCGGGAGGAACAUCAGUUGCGAAGGCGGCUCUCUGGACCAGCACUGACACUGAGGCACGAAAGCGUGGGGAGCAAACAGG